UACGAAGGGGGCUAGCGUUGCUCGGAAUCACUGGGCGUAAAGCGCACGUAGGCGGCUUACUAAGUCAGGGGUGAAAUCCUGGAGCUCAACUCCAGAACUGCCUUUGAUACUGGUGAGCUUGAGUCCGGAAGAGGUGAGUGGAACUGCGAGUGUAGAGGUGAAAUUCGUAGAUAUUCGCAAGAACACCAGUGGCGAAGGCGGCUAACUGGUCCGGUUCUGACGCUGAGGCGCGAAAGCGUGGGGAGCAAACCGG
rnacentral:rRNA from 1 species